GCGGCGGACGGGUGAGUAACGCGUGGGUAACCUACCCUGUACACACGGAUAACAUACCGAAAGGUAUGCUAAUACGGGAUAAUAUAUUUGAGAGGCAUCUCUUGAAUAUCAAAGGUGAGCCAGUACAGGAUGGACCCGCGUCUGAUUAGCUAGUUGGUAAGGUAACGGCUUACCAAGGCGACGAUCAGUAGCCGACCUGAGAGGGUGAUCGGCCACAUUGGAACUGAGACACGGUCCAAACUCCUACGGGAGGCAGCAGUGGGGAAUAUUGCACAAUGGGCGAAAGCCUGAUGCAGCAACGCCGCGUGAGUGAUGAAGGCCUUCGGGUCGUAAAACUCUGUCCUCAAGGAAGAUAAUGACGGUACUUGAGGAGGAAGCCCCGGCUAACUACGUGCCAGCAGCCGCGGUAAUACGUAGGGGGCUAGCGUUAUCCGGAUUUACUGGGCGUAAAGGGUGCGUAGGCGGUCUUUCAAGUCAGGAGUGAAAGGCUACGGCUCAACCGUAGUAAGCUCUUGAAACUGGGAGACUUGAGUGCAGGAGAGGAGAGUGGAAUUCCUAGUGUAGCGGUGAAAUGCGUAGAUAUUAGGAGGAACACCAGUUGCGAAGGCGGCUCUCUGGACUGUAACUGACGCUGAGGCACGAAAGCGUGGGGAGCAAACAGGAUUAGAUACCCUGGUAGUCCACGCUGUAAACGAUGAGUACUAGGUGUCGGGGGUUACCCCCUUCGGUGCCGCAGCUAACGCAUUAAGUACUC
rnacentral:rRNA from 1 species